rnacentral:rRNA from 1 species
GAUGAACGCUGGCGGCGUGCCUAACACAUGCAAGUCGAACGGAGAUUACGGACGGAAGUUUUCGGAUGGAAGACUGUAAUUCUUAGUGGCGGACGGGUGAGUAACGCGUGGGCAACCUGCCCUAUACAGGGGGAUAGCAGCUGGAAACGGCUGGUAAGACCGCAUAAGUCGGUUAAAUCGCAUGAUUUGAUCGGGAAAUGAGCAAUCAGGUAUAGGAUGGGCCCGCGUCCGAUUAGCCAGUUGGCAGGGUAAAAGCCUACCAAAGCGACGAUCGGUAGCCGGACUGAGAGGGCGGACGGCCACAUUGGGACUGAGACACGGCCCAAACUCCUACGGGAGGCAGCAGUGGGGGAUAUUGCACAAUGGAGGAAACUCUGAUGCAGCGACGCCGCGUGAGUGAAGAAGUAUUUCGGUAUGUAAAGCUCUAUCAGCAGGGAAGAUGAUGACGGUACCUGACUAAGAAGCCCCGGCUAACUACGUG